ensembl:lncRNA PURPL p53 upregulated regulator of p53 levels
CCUGGCCGUAAAUUUUUUUAUUUUAAGAACGAAAUGAAGUUAGACUCUGUUUCUUACAUUUGGAGAUGAAGAAUUGUCCUGUAAACAUGUAGGCGCAAAGGAUAAAUAUAUAUUGAAAAUGUGAUAGAAGGCAUUGGAGUGCUACCCAGAAAAUUAUGAUGUAUGACAAUAAAAUUGAGAAGAGAAGGCAGAUUCAAAGAGGAUCUCUCCCUGUGGUGCCUAGGUUGGUUUAAAACUCUUGGCCUCAAGCGAUCCUCCCACCUUGAAUUCCCAAAGCAAGGUGCUAUUAGUAAUUGGCUCAGAGAACUCGCCAUUAGGGGCAGUGCAUCACUUAACAAUGGCUGGGCGUGAAAGAGAGCCCUGCUCUACUGACCCUUCAAUGUGCCCGUGUGCCUAAAUAUUCCUGGUCGUGUGAAAAGAACCCAGGUAUUAGCUGAACUAAGGAGCACAAUUCUGCAACAUUUUGGCACCCAAACACGGGGCUUGAGAAAUGAAUGCAAUUGGAGAAACUGGUUGUUUUACCAGGCGUUGAUUGGAAAUGUGUGCUUCCCUUUAAGCAGUCAAGCUCAACUUGCAGAACUGAUGGGAACCCCUUGGGAAAACUGGCCUCAAAUGUUUGUCUACACAGUCCACAUACAGGGUUCUUAACCUGCGGAAACACUUUCUGAAAAUGUCAGAACUCUUGAAAACAUGGAUGAGGAAAAGCAUAAGUACUGCUUUAUGCUUUUCUUAUGAAUUUUAAAAGAUGUAAUUUAAAGGUACUUUAAAGUGAUAUUUGUGCCCUUGUAACUGAUUCAAAGUAGACUGCUAAGGACAAUAAGUAAUAAGAGUCUACAAAUAUCAGUAAAUUAUGAGAAAAAACGGUCUAAUGGUACUUAAAAUUGCAUUGUGAUUUAUUAAAUAACAUUGAACAGCUCCACCUGUAACAUUAAGAUUCCAUUUGAGCAUAUAGAAAAUAUAUUUAUCGCAACCUGAAGUGAUUUGGAAAGUAUGCUGGGAAGAAAAUAUAUUUACAAAUUAGUCUCAGAGGGUAGGUAUCCUGUAGCCAGAUGGAAUAAGAAGAGAGGGAAGGGAGAUUUUGUUCAAAGGGGGAGCAUAAGCUAAGGAAUAAAGCCACAAACAAUGAUUAAAUUAGGUAAAGUGCAAUUAGCUGAAUAUUGCAUAAGCAUACAUAUGGGAAGAAGUGGAAAAAGGAGUGACAAUAUGAAGCUAAAGGGUUUGAAGUGUUCAAGAUAAUACUAGGCUUCCUAGCCUAUUCCGAGACAUCUUGUUUUAGAGUGCAAUAGAUAAGAACUCUAAGGAUGAAAGUAGGAGACAUGCAUUCUAGUCUACGUUUUGGUUAAUGGACUGAAAGUGAAAGAUGGACUGAAAUUGGGGGAUGGAAUAAAAAUGUGAUAGAA